AGGGUUUGAUUCUGGCUCAGGAUAAACGCUGGCGGCGUGCGUAACACAUGCAAGUCGAACGAGAAUGUACUGACGGAUCCUUAGGGUGAAGAUAGUACAGGACAGUGGCGGAUGGGUGAGUAACGCGUAAGAAACCUGCCUUUCACACCGGGAUAGCAGCUGGAAACGGCUAUUAAUACCGGAUGACACUUUUUCCCCGCAUGAGGAAGAGGUUAAAGAAUUUCGGUGAAAGAUGGUCUUGCGUCUGAUUAGCUAGUUGGUGGGGUAACGGCCUACCAAGGCGACGAUCAGUAGCCGGCCUGAGAGGGUGUACGGCCACAUUGGGACUGAGACACGGCCCAA
rnacentral:rRNA from 1 species